UUAUUACUUAUUUUCUGAAAAAACUGUUGCUAUUGCCUUUGAAGUGCCUGGUGGCUGGAAAAAAGAGAAAGAAGCUAUUAUUUUGACCGUUGUACAGGAGGAAAGAAGGAAUUGAAUGGAAGUAACAUUUCUUAGUACCGCAGAUGCUUAUGGGAGGAAGUGGGUCAUUCUCCGCUGGGGGACCUGGAAAGGGAAUGCACUCAAGGCUUUAUCUUCGUGUCUUGAAUGAAUACCAGCAGAUUCAAUGUUUUUCUGCAUUCAACAGUCUCUUCAACAAUACAGGGUUAUUUGGCUUAUAUGCAACCACAUUAAGGCAAAAUCUUUUCUUAAAACACAGAUGUGAUGUCUCUAUUUAAUUUUCUCUGAAUUUUUUAUUCAUUGAAUGGUUGGGUUAGUUCGUCUAGAAAAAUAAGUUCCCUUUUAUAAUUUAUUAACACAGCACAAGAUAUUUAAAAUGUACUUCUAAGUU